rnacentral:rRNA from 1 species
AUGAACGCUAGCGGCAGGCCUAACACAUGCAAGUCGAGGGGCAGCACGUUAAAGAGUUUACUCUUUAUGGUGGCGACCGGCGGACGGGUGCGUAACGCGUAUGCAACCUGCCUGACACAGGGGGAUAAUCCGAAGAAAUUUGGUCUAAUACCCCAUAAUACCGAUAUAGGCAUCUAUGUUGGUUGAAAGCUUUGGUGGUGUCAGAUGGGCAUGCGUUGUAUUAGCUAGUUGGUGAGGUAACGGCUCACCAAGGCGACGAUACAUAGGGGGACUGAGAGGUUAACCCCCCACACUGGUACUGAGACACGGACCAGACUCCUACGGGAGGCAGCAGUGAGGAAUAUUGGUCAAUGGGCGGAAGCCUGAACCAGCCAUGCCGCGUGCAGGAAGACGGCUCUAUGAGUUGUAAACUGCUUUUGUACUAGGGUAAUUUGCGGUACGUGUACCGUAUUGAAAGUAUAGUACGAAUAAGGAUCGGCUAACUCCGUGCCAGCAGCCGCGGUAAUACGGAGGAUCCAAGCGUUAUCCGGAUUUAUUGGGUUUAAAGGGUGCGUAGGCGGCAGAUUAAGUUAGAGGUGAAAUUCCGAGGCUAAACCUUGGCACUGCCUCUGAUACUGGUUUGCUAGCGAGUAGAUGAUGUAGGCGGAAUGUGUGGUGUAGCGGUGAAAUGCAUAGAGAUCACACAGAACACCGAUUGCGAAGGCAGCUUACAAAUCUAUAUCGGACGCUGAGGCACGAAAGCGUGGGGAGCAAACAGGAUUAGAUACCCUGGUAGUCCACGCAGUAAACGAUGAUAACUCGUUGUCGGCGAUAUACAGUCGGUGACCAGGCGAAAGCGAUAAGUUAUCCACCUGGGGAGUACGUUCGCAAGAAUGAAACUCAAAGGAAUUGACGGGGGCCCGCACAAGCGGAGGAACAUGUGGUUUAAUUCGAUGAUACGCGAGGAACCUUACCCGGGCUUGAAAGUUAGUGACGGAUGCCGAAAGGUGUCUUCCCUUCGGGGCACGAAACUAGGUGCUGCAUGGUUGUCGUCAGCUCGUGUCGUGAGAUGUUGGGUUAAGUCCCGCAACGAGCGCAACCCUUAUGGUCAGUUACUACGCAAGAGGACUCUGGCCAGACUGCCGUUGACAAAACGGAGGAAGGUGGGGAUGACGUCAAAUCAGCACGGCCCUUACGUCCGGGGCGACACACGUGUUACAAUGGUCGGUACAGAGGGCAGCUACCUGGUGACAGGAUGCGAAUCUCGAAAGCCGGUCUCAGUUCGGAUUGGAGGCUGAAACUCGCCUCCAUGAAGUUGGAUUCGCUAGUAAUCGCGCAUCAGCCAUGGCGCGGUGAAUACGUUCCCGGGCCUUGUACACACCGCCCGUCAAGCCAUGGGAGUCGGGGGUGCCUGAAGUACGUUACCGCGAGGAGCGUCCUAGGGCAAAACUGAUGACUGGGGCU